UGAACGCUGGCGGCAGGCCUAAUACAUGCAAGUCGAACGGCAGCACAGCAGAGCUUGCUCUGUGGGUGGCGAGUGGCGGACGGGUGAGGAAUACAUGGGAAUCUGCCCAGUCGUGGGGGAUAACGUAGGGAAACUUACGCUAAUACCGCAUGCGCCCUUCGGGGGAAAGCCGGGGACCUUCGGGCCUGGCGCGAUUGGAUGAGCCCAUGUCGGAUUAGCUAGUUGGCGGGGUAAAGGCCCACCAAGGCGACGAUCCGUGGCUGGUCUGAGAGGAUGAUCAGCCACACUGGAACUGAGACACGGUCCAGACUCCUACGGGAGGCAGCAGUGGGGAAUUUUGGACAAUGGGCGCAAGCCUGAUCCAGCCAUGCCGCGUGCGGGAAG
rnacentral:rRNA from 1 species